UAAAACGUUUGUAGAUAGCUUUUUAAGUCCUUUGUCAAAUCCCAUGGCUCAAUCCUAAACAUGUGAUGAAAACUAUCAAGCUGGAGUACAAUAGGGUAGAGGAAAUUUUCGGUGGAGUGGUAAACCACAUAGAGAUCGAAAAUAAAAUCCCCAAUGAAAGUACUCUGCUAGACCGACAAUGACACUGAGAAACGAAAGCUAAAGAAGCAAAUGUGAUUAAACUCUACAUUUGAGAAGUUGUCAAACAUCUUUUCUUGAAAAUAAGUGUUCGAGAAGU
rnacentral:rRNA from 1 species